rnacentral:rRNA from 1 species
CAAGGCGACGAUCCCUAGCUGGUCUGAGAGGAUGAUCAGCCACGUCAGAACUGAGACACGGUCCAGACUCCUACGGGAGGCAGCAGUGGGGAAUAUUGCACAAUGGGCGCAAGCCUGAUGCAGCCAUGCCGCGUGUGUGAAGAAGGCCUUCGGGUUGUAAAGCACUUUCCUGAGUGAGGAAGGUAGUGUAGUUAAUAGCUGCAUUAUUUGACGUUAGCGACAGAAGAAGCACCGGCUAACUCCGUGCCAGCAGCCGCGGUAAUACGGAGGGUGCGAGCGUUAAUCGGAAUUACUGGGCGUAAAGCGCAUGCAGGUGGUUUGUUAAGGACUAUGUGAAAGCCCGGGGCUCAACCUCGGAAUUGCAUUUGAAACUGGCAGACUAGAGUACUGUAGAGGGGGGUAGAAUUUCAGGUGUAGCGGUGAAAUGCGUAGAGAUCUGAAGGAAUACCGGUGGCGAAGGCGGCCCCCUGGACAGAUACUGACACUCAGCGUAGAAAGCGUGGGGAGCAAACAGGAUUAGAUACCCUGGUAGUCCACGCCGUAAACGAUGUCUACUUGGAG